CAAAGGCCAUCAGCCACAACUAGGAGUCUGCCUAAGAGACACUCAGGCAGACAUUACCAGUCUAUCCCCACUACCUUCUUUCAGUGAUAGAACUUGGAUUUUUGUUUAUUUUUACACUCCACAUGGUUAGGUAACAUCCCAAUGGAACAGAGAGCAAUCUGAGAGGUGACAGAGACCAGUGGAGAGCCAGGGAAGAAGACUAGAAGAGGAGUCAGGGAGGAGAAAAGAGAAUCAGAAAGGUCCAAAGAAGAGACAUAGGACAGGGACUCCUGCCUCCCUUUGAAAUCUCUGACCCAAAGUGUUUUAAGCAAACAAUCUGCCUUCUCUUCCAAGUAUUAAUCCAUUUCCAAACCUAGAUGCAAAUCAGUGAGGAUUUAAGAUUCAAGCUCUCAAGCUGUUGACACAUACAAAAUGAAAAUGAACAUCGUGGCAGGUGGUAGGAAAUGAACAAGCACAGGCAACUAGCAACUACAAAAAUGAGAUAACCUGGAGCUUCAGUAAUGCUGAAAUUAUCCACAACCCAGGAGGAGAUUAUUCUUAACAAAAAGCUACCGAUAAAGGGCCAAAUGGAACUGCUGAAAACUAGCCCAAUCUUGUGUCUGCCUUUCAAAUUAAACAGGAUACAGCAUCUGUAUUCAUGCAAAAAAUGUCUGUGGAAAGAUUUUGUUGUAUGUUAUUGGACUGGGAUGUCAAGACAGCAUCCUCUGCUCAACAGUCUUAAAAAUUAAAUAAGAGGUUCUUGUAUAAUGAAUGCUUCAUAAUAAGAUAGUGCCUAAAGGCCAGGGUGGUAUGAAUUACUGCUAUGGAGCUGGAACUGGAGUUGGGUCAAGAAAGACACUUUUCUUGUAUCAUCUCCCAACUAUCAGAAAUUGAAUUAAACCUAAGUCAAAAUGACAGAAAUAACUAAUAUUCAUUAAACAUGUAUUAUGUGGUGACGUUUUAGAAUUCAUCCACAGUGACAAAUUAGGGAUGAGAAAAUGCAUGCUUUUGUUGAAAAUGUGGGAAAUAAGGCUUUUCUUUUAGACUGAGUCACCACCCUGAUCCAGGAUGGGCAGGUCACUCUGGGAUUUUAAAACUGGAUGCUCAGAGACAGAAGCUAUCUGUCCUCUGGAUUGCAGGCUACAUGGAUGUGACCUCCAGGGCCACUAUAUAUUUAUUCCAGAUAAACAUGCAUCUCACCUAGCUGUUGGAAGCUAGGUUACAACUAUUAGAAGAAAAUAUAUUUGCAGGAAGAGAAAAUAAAAUCAACAAGCAAAGAGAAUUUAAUCUAAAGCAAAUGCAAUAUCAUUUAACUCAAAGAAAAAUACUAAAAUUUUGUAUUGGAAAAACAUGAUGGAAAGUUGCAGAAUGAAAAUGCUUAAAAAUUACUUGUUUAGAACACAGUUCUACAUCCACGUAUCUUCCAAGUUCCUUCUGAGGUUUCAUGGGGUCACUUUACCCUGUGUCUCUCUACCCCCAAGGACUUGUGACUGCCUAGAAAGAACUUUCUCCUUACUCCAGUUGGCCCUUAAAAAAAUCAUUUGCUGGAGUCAUAGUGCCAAAAGCCCUCUUGGGUGUUCAGAGAAAUUGUGGCUAAAGUAAAGAGUUCUUGCUGCCAGAUUGUUAAAAAUGACUCAAGAAAAAAGGUAUAGGAGGUUUAGGAGGAGGGUACCUGAAGCCAGCUAAAGUUGGUGAAUCCAGAAGAAACAAUCACUCAAACUCAAGAAAGGCAGGCCAGAGCAUAAAAAUAGGAGAAAUAAAGAUACCAGAACAGUCUUGGGUCUGCCAGUGCCAGGAAAGCUAGUUCCAAGGUGAAAUCUGCUUUCAGGCUCUCCAAGUAUUUAUUGAGCACAGUGUUUGAUGGCUUUGGAAAUUUAAAAACAAAUUAUCUCUCAUCCCAAAGAGUCAGAAACAUGGCAUAGGCAUACAUGUAGGAUAAAUUUCUUU
rnacentral:lncRNA from 1 species